CGUACACUGCGUUUCCGAGCUACUUGCGGGGCCUUUUAGCAAUGGAGACCGACGAAGCAGGGUCGCCGACGUGUGCUUCCGUUUCAGCUUCAGUUCCGACAAACCGCUCUGGCUUCUCAGGUGAGGAUGGCGGAGUGAAUCCGGAGAAGGAUUUUGAUGGCCAUGGUCACGAAUGACAGGAAGGUGUGGGUGCUUCGUCGCUUCAAUCGACAGAGGCGGUGGACAAUCCGUCCUGGGCAAAUGUAUGACAUCUUUAUGCUGGCGUCCCGAUGGCAAGGUUGCUGUUUUAUGACUUGGAGAUGGUACGAUUUUACUGCAUGAUGUUGAAGUCCAAGAGUUCCUCGAAUGCCCGGACUAGUACCUGGAGAUGCUGGUUUAACUGAUGAUGUUCAACAUUCAUUUGUAGAGCUCUCAAAUUCUUCAAAGCAAUUUUGCAUAUCUUUUGCAGUGGAGAUAAAGAUAGGGUUUUGUGCUUUUGUAUAUUUGGUGUCUUUCCAAUCAGAAAUAUUGUAAGCGUCCUAUUAGGUCAAAUCAAAUAUUUAGUUGUAUGGUCUAUCGGAUUCAGUCAAUGAGUCCUUUCUUUGUUCUUGCU